AGAGUUUGAUCCUGGCUCAGGAUGAACGCUGGCGGCGUGCCUAAUACAUGCAAGUCGAGCGAACGGACGAGAAGCUUGCUUCUCUGAUGUUAGCGGCGGACGGGUGAGUAACACGUGGAUAACCUACCUAUAAGACUGGGAUAACUUCGGGAAACCGGAGCUAAUACCGGAUAAUAUUUUGAACCGCAUGGUUCAAAAGUGAAAGACGGUCUUGCUGUCACUUAUAGAUGGAUCCGCGCUGCAUUAGCUAGUUGGUAAGGUAACGGCUUACCAAGGCAACGAUGCAUAGCCGACCUGAGAGGGUGAUCGGCCACACUGGAACUGAGACACGGUCCAGACUCCUACGGGAGGCAGCAGUAGGGAAUCUUCCGCAAUGGGCGAAAGCCUGACGGAGCAACGCCGCGUGAGUGAUGAAGGUCUUCGGAUCGUAAAACUCUGUUAUUAGGGAAGAACAUAUGUGUAAGUAACUGUGCACAUCUUGACGGUACCUAAUCAGAAAGCCACGGCUAACUACGUGCCAGCAGCCGCGGUAAUACGUAGGUGGCAAGCGUUAUCCGGAAUUAUUGGGCGUAAAGCGCGCGUAGGCGGUUUUUUAAGUCUGAUGUGAAAGCCCACGGCUCAACCGUGGAGGGUCAUUGGAAACUGGAAAACUUGAGUGCAGAAGAGGAAAGUGGAAUUCCAUGUGUAGCGGUGAAAUGCGCAGAGAUAUGGAGGAACACCAGUGGCGAAGGCGACUUUCUGGUCUGUAACUGACGCUGAUGUGCGAAAGCGUGGGGAUCAAACAGGAUUAGAUACCCUGGUAGUCCACGCCGUAAACGAUGAGUGCUAAGUGUUAGGGGGUUUCCGCCCCUUAGUGCUGCAGCUAACGCAUUAAGCACUCCGCCUGGGGAGUACGACCGCAAGGUUGAAACUCAAAGGAAUUGACGGGGACCCGCACAAGCGGUGGAGCAUGUGGUUUAAUUCGAAGCAACGCGAAGAACCUUACCAAAUCUUGACAUCCUUUGACAACUCUAGAGAUAGAGCCUUCCCCUUCGGGGGACAAAGUGACAGGUGGUGCAUGGUUGUCGUCAGCUCGUGUCGUGAGAUGUUGGGUUAAGUCCCGCAACGAGCGCAACCCUUAAGCUUAGUUGCCAUCAUUAAGUUGGGCACUCUAAGUUGACUGCCGGUGACAAACCGGAGGAAGGUGGGGAUGACGUCAAAUCAUCAUGCCCCUUAUGAUUUGGGCUACACACGUGCUACAAUGGACAAUACAAAGGGCAGCGAAACCGUGAGGUCAAGCAAAUCCCAUAAAGUUUUUCUCAGUUCGGAUUGUAGUUUGCAACUCGACUACAUGAAGCUGGAAUCGCUAGUAAUCGUAGAUCAGCAUGCUACGGUGAAUACGUUCCCGGGUCUUGUACACACCGCCCGUCACACCACGAGAGUUNNNNNNNNNNNNNNNNNNGCACUCUAAGUUGACUGCCGGUGACAAACCGGAGGAAGGUGGGGAUGACGUCAAAUCAUCAUGCCCCUUAUGAUUUGGGCUACACACGUGCUACAAUGGACAAUACAAAGGGCAGCGAAACCGCGAGGUCAAGCAAAUCCCAUAAAGUUGUUCUCAGUUCGGAUUGUAGUCUGCAACUCGACUACAUGAAGCUGGAAUCGCUAGUAAUCGUAGAUCAGCAUGCUACGGUGAAUACGUUCCCGGGUCUUGUACACACCGCCCGUCACACCACGAGAGUUUGUAACACCCGAAGCCGGUGGAGUAACCUUUUAGGAGCUAGCCGUCGAAGGUGGGACAAAUGAUUGGGGUGAAGUCGUAACAAGGUAGCCGUAUCGGAAGGUGCGGCUGGAUCACCU
rnacentral:rRNA from 1 species